rnacentral:lncRNA from 1 species
GAGGGCGGAAGCCACGGGACGUGGAGCAGAUGGUGAGGAUAGUGGGGAAGGUAGCCGCAGAGGAUGACCCGAGGCAAAAGUGCAAGUGAGGAAAAGUCGCCUUGCCGGGCAGAGGUACCGGACCAAGGCGCCUCCUCUGGGCUGAGGAGUUAGAGGGAAGAAAAUGGCGCCCUGUCAUGAGGGCGCGAGGUCCGAGUUGAGGGGAGAAGACUGAGGGGCACAGAAGUGGCCGAAGUGAGGGCGCUGAGGUCAGCCUGAGCUGAGAGGGCCGGCAGAUCACGCCGCAGCCGAAGUGAACGAACUCGAGUGAGGAAAUUACUCCAGGAUUUGAAUCAUCACAAGAGAUUCACCAGAGGAUUUUAUACACUUGGGCUGUGGCAGCAGACUAAUUACACCACAGCACUAGCAUUUUAGGGCCUCAGCAGAAAGGAGACUGAACCAGUUCCAUGAAAACAUUCUCCUAUCUAAUAAAUCAAAAAAUCAUGACUGGCUUCCAUCAGUUCAGGAGUCUCCACACAAAUGUUUUGACAGUGGAACAAGAGACAGUCAAGGACAGUUUUAUCAGUGACAUCUACCUUCCAAUAGCAAAAACCAUCAACCCCACGAGCUGAGAUACUGGCUGGGUGGAUUUCAGCAAAUUUCCAAGGUCACAUGACAUGUGGGCACAAAAGCCAGGAUUUCACACCAGGGGAUAAAGUAUAUCAGAAAUGAAGGCUGGGGUAAGUACAAGCAGUUAAGUGCAAUACUUUGUUCUGAGCUUUCUGACAACCAACCCAACCAUUGGAAAUAUAAAGGUUUACAUGGCUCUCAUUUUCUUUUCAAAAAAUACGAAAAGAAAAUUUUAAUGAUACACACUAGUUUCUCAAGAGGCUCAAAUUUUUUUCCUGAUUUUUAUUCUUAGAGCAAUUUCUUGCAUGGAUCUUUAUAUAACAUUUAAAGGGCAGAAUAAUAGACAAUAUCUCCCCGGAUACUUUUUAUCAGCAAGACAGGAAUGUUCCCCAAAUGACACUGCUUAAGAGAACUUUGAGGAGAACUGAGGGCAAGAUACAAGCCAUGGUUCUAUAGAGAUAAGUCUACAGAAGCUGCAGAAAUAACAUUCCAGAUCCCGAGGAAUCCACCCACCCACCCCUCCGACUUUGGCCAAACACCAUGGCUGGCUGCCGUGUGAAGAAUGGACUGUAGGGGGUGCCAGAGUGGCUGUGGGAAACAUCCCCUAGAAAUCUAGAAUUCAAAGCACUUACUUUGAGUGAUAUAUCCACAAGAAAGAGCCUUCUGUGCUAAAAGCAAAAAAGAAAUAAAAACAUAUCAUGUUACUUU